AUGAGCAGAUUUAGACGGCACUUAGAAGGCGCCACUGGGUUCUACAAGAGCGAGAUGGGCGGUUCGUCCGAGCCCGAGUCGCAUGGGACAUCCGACUGCCCGCGCGGGGGAGGGGGGUCCAGCAGCAAGUGCACCCGCGCCGCCGAGGUGCACAACCUCUCCGAGAGGCGGCGGAGGAGCAGGAUUAACGAGAAGAUGAAGGCAUUGCAGAUCCUGAUACCCAAUUCCAACAAGACUGACAAGGCAUCCAUGCUUGACGAGGCCAUACUCAUUGAGUAUCUGAAGCAACUGCGGCUCCAAGUACAUGAUAAUGAGAUGUUGAAGAGGCAGAGUGAAUCCAUGACACUGCAGUGCAGUUGCACCGUUCCGUUGAAUAUUACUCAGGAAUAA
rnacentral:rRNA from 1 species